rfam:Myotis brandtii contig196460, whole genome shotgun sequence.
AGCUUUGCACGGUGGCAGUAUUGUAACUAAUGAGGUUUAUCCGAGGCACGAUUAUUGCUAAUUGAAAGAAAAAAUAAU